AGUGAACGCUGGCGGUAGGCCUAACACAUGCAAGUCGAACGGCAGCACAGUAAGAGCUUGCUCUUACGGGUGGCGAGUGGCGGACGGGUGAGGAAUACAUCGGAAUCUACUUUUUCGUGGGGGAUAACGUAGGGAAACUUACGCUAAUACCGCAUACGACCUACGGGUGAAAGCAGGGGAUCUUCGGACCUUGCGCGAUUGAAUGAGCCGAUGUCGGAUUAGCUAGUUGGCGGGGUAAAGGCCCACCAAGGCGACGAUCCGUAGCUGGUCUGAGAGGAUGAUCAGCCACACUGGAACUGAGACACGGUCCAGACUCCUACGAGAGGCAGCAGUGGGGAAUAUUGGACAAUGGGCGCAAGCCUGAUCCAGCCAUACCGCGUGAGUGAAGAAGGCCUUCGGGUUGUAAAGCCCUUUUGUUGGGAAAGAAAAGCAGCAGGUUAAUACCCCGCUGUUCUGACGGUACCCAAAGAAUAAGCACCGGCUAACUUCGUG
rnacentral:rRNA from 1 species